rnacentral:rRNA from 1 species
AACGAAUGCUGGCGGCAGGCUUAACACAUGCAAGUCGAGCGGAGAUGAGGUGCUUGCACCUUAUCUUAGCGGCGGACGGGUGAGUAAUGCUUAGGAAUCUGCCUAUUAGUGGGGGACAACAUUCCGAAAGGAAUGCUAAUACCGCAUACGUCCUACGGGAGAAAGCAGGGGAUCUUCGGACCUUGCGCUAAUAGAUGAGCCUAAGUCGGAUUAGCUAGUUGGUGGGGUAAAGGCCUACCAAGGCGACGAUCUGUAGCGGGUCUGAGAGGAUGAUCCGCCACACUGAGACUGAGACACGGCCAAGACUCCUACGGGAGGCAGCAGUGGGGAAUAUUGGACAAUGGGCGGAAGCCUGAUCCAGCCAUGCCGCGUGUGUGAAGAAGGCCUUUUGGUUGUAAAGCACUUUAAGCGAGGAGGAGGCUACCUGGAUUAAUACUCUAGGAUAGUGGACGUUACUCGCAGAAUAAGCACCGGCUAACUCUGUGCCAGCAGCCGCAGUAACAC